AAAUUUAAGGUCUAACCUGCCCACUGAAUUUUUAAAUGGCCGUGGUAUUUUGACCGUGCUAAGGUAGCAUAAUCAUUAGUUUUUUAAUUAAGAACUGGAAUGAAAGGUUGGAUAAGAAAAUAGCUGUCUCUAUUAAAUUUUAUUAGAAUUUUAUUUUUAAGUUAAAAAGCUUAAAUAUAUUUAAAAGACGAGAAGACCCUAUAGAGUUUGAUUGUUUAAUAAAAGUUACUUUUUAGUAUUUAUAUAUUUAUUUUAUUUAACAAUUUAAUUGGGGUGAUUGAAAAAUUAAGCUAACUUUUUUUAUUUAAAUUCAUUAAUUUAUGAAUUAAUGAUCCAAUAUUUUUGAUUAUAAGAUAAAAUUACCUUAGGGAUAACAGCGUAAUUUUUUUAAAGAGUUCAUAUUAAAAGAAAAGAUUGCGACCUCGAUGUUGGAUUAAAAUAAAUUUUUGGUGUAGGAGCUAAAAUAUUAGGUCUGUUCGACCUUUAAAAUUUUA
rnacentral:rRNA from 1 species